CAGUGGGGGCCGGCCUACACAUGCAAGUCGAGCGGCAGCGGGAAAGUAGCUUGCUACUUUUGCCGGCGAGCGGCCGACGGGUGAGUAAUGCCUGGGGAUCUGCCCAGUCGAGGGGGAUAACUACUGGAAACGGUAGCUAAUACCGCAUACGCCCUACGGGGGAAAGCAGGGGACCUUCGGGCCUUGCGCGAUUGGAUGAACCCAGGUGGGAUUAGC
rnacentral:rRNA from 2 species